CCUACGGGAGGCUGCAGUGAGGAAUAUUGGUCAAUGGGCGGGAGCCUGAACCAGCCAAGCCGCGUGAGGGAAGAAGGUACAGCGUAUCGUAAACCUCUUUUGUCAGGGAACAAAGGCGGGGACUAGUCCCCGGAUGAGGGUACCUGAAGAAAAAGCAUCGGCUAACUCCGUGCCAGCAGCCGCGGUAAUACGGAGGAUGCGAGCGUUAUCCGGAUUUGUGGGGUUUAAAGGGUGCGCGGGCGGCCUGUUAAGUCAGCGGUAAAAUCCCGGGGCUCAACCCCGGCGAGCCGUUGAAACUGGCAGGCUGGAGUUGGAGAGAGGUACGCGGAAUGCGCGGUGUAGCGGUGAAAUGCUUAGAUAUCGCGCAGAACCCCGAUUGCGAAGGCAGUGUACCGGCUCCACACUGACGCUGAGGCACGAAAGCGUGGGUAUCGAACAGGAUUAGAUACCCCGGUAGUC
rnacentral:rRNA from 1 species